GAGUUUGAUCAUGGCUCAGGAUAAACGCUGGCGGCAUGCCUAACACAUGCAAGUCGAACGGGGUUUAUAUAGCGGAACUCUUCGGAGGGAAGCUGUAUAAACCUAGUGGCGGACGGGUGAGUAACGCGUGGGGAACCUGCCCUGUACCGGGGGACAACAGCCAGAAAUGGCUGCUAAUACCGCAUAACCCUGCACUGCCGCAUGGCGGUGCAGGGAAAACUUCGGUGGUACAGGAUGGCCCCGCGUCUGAUUAGCUUGUUGGCGGGGUAACGGCCCACCAAGGCGACGAUCAGUAGCCGGCUUGAGAGAGUGGACGGCCACAUUGGGACUGAGACACGGCCCAGACUCCUGCGGGAGGCAGCAGUGGGGAAUAUUGCACAAUGGGGGGAACCCUGAUGCAGCAAUGCCGCGUGGGUGAAGAAGUACUCCGGUAUGUAAAGCCCUGUCAGCAGGGAAGAAAAUGACGGUACCUGACUAAGAAGCCCCGGCUAACUACGUGCCAGCAGCCGCGGUAAUACGUAGGGGGCGAGCGUUAUCCGGAUUUACUGGGUGUAAAGGGAGCGCAGGCGGCGUGGCAAGUCAGAUGUGAAAACCCGGGGCCCAACCCCGGGACUGCAUUUGAAACUGCCAUGCUGGAGUGCCGGAGAGGUAAGUGGAAUUCCUAGUGUAGCGGUGAAAUGCGUAGAUAUUAGGAGGAACACCAGUGGCGAAGGCGGCUUACUGGACGGUAACUGACGCUGAGGCUCGAAAGCGUGGGGAGCAAACAGGAUUAGAUACCCUGGUAGUCCACGCUGUAAACGAUGAAUACCAGGUGUCGGGGCACAUAAGUGGCCCGGUGCCGCAGCUAACGCACUAAGUAUUCCACCUGGGGAGUACGUUCGCAAGAAUGAAACUCAAAGGAAUUGACGG
rnacentral:rRNA from 1 species